rnacentral:rRNA from 1 species
CCUACGGGUGGCAGCAGUCAAGAAUCAUUCACAAUGGGGGAAACCCUGAUGGUGCGACGCCGCGUGGGGGAAUGAAGGUCUUCGGAUUGUAAACCCCUGUCAUGUGGGAGCAAAUUAAAAAGAUAGUACCACAAGAGGAAGAGACGGCUAACUCUGUGCCAGCAGCCGCGGUAAUACAGAGGUCUCAAGCGUUGUUCGGAAUCACUGGGCGUAAGGCGUGCGUAGGCUGUUUCGUAAGUCGUGUGUGAAAGGCGCGGGCUCAACCCGCGGACGGCACAUGAUACUGGGAGACUAGAGUAAUGGAGGGGGAACCGGAAUUCUCGGUGUAGCAGUGAAAUGCGUAGAUAUCGAGAGGAACACUCGUGGCGAAGGCGGGUUCCUGGACAUUAACUGACGCUGAGGCACGAAGGCCAGGGGAGCGAAAGGGAUUAGAUACCCGAGUAGUC